UUUAUUACAAGGCUUUCAAAAAGCAUGUUAAAAUUUGCUUGCUGGAUGUUCAGCUUCUUUUCUUGUUGAAAAGCAGAAGCUGUAAUCAUAAAUAAUAGUACCUUAAUCUAUUAGUGGUCUUACUAACAGUUGCAUAGAACACUUAAUAAUAAAAUAACAUUUUAAGCUAUAAAUACUAAAUCAAGAUGGAAACAGAUUGUCUUAUACCUCAAUAUAAAUUGCAGACUUGAUAGCUUCAAGGAAAUAAGCUCUCAGAAAGAGCAGCUGAUAUACUGAAAACAGGACAGGAAGAGGCCUAAGCUUGCUCCACGUGUUCCAGAGGAUGGAUGGAGGCACACACCGCCCAGCCAAGUGACAGGAUGGGGACUGAAUGUUCAGUUUGCAAAGACUAAAACAUCUUUCAUUCCCUUCCUCCUGCCCAUGGAAAAAGAGACUAUUCUGGGUAUGGAAUAAACCAAAGAAGACAGGAUAAGAGAGGCCCUAUGAGAAUCCACGUGCCUCAGAAAGGGACAAAACUCAAGCAAGCUAAUAGAAUGCCCAUAGGAAGUUCCACCUUCAGACAGUGGCUAGACUCACCUCAGCUGGAGCUAAAGUCAUCAUUUUAAACUGUCUUCCAAUUCUUAACCCAAACAUCAGGGUACUUCCCCUGGUGUAGGAGCGACAGUGGGUAGGAC